rnacentral:rRNA from 1 species
AUACGUAGGGGGCUAGCGUUAUCCGGAUUACUGGGCGUAAAGGGUAGCGUAGGCGGACCUUUAAGUGAGAUGUGAAAUACCCGAGCUCAACUUGGGUGCUGCAUUUCAAACUGGAGGUCUAGAGUGUCGGAGAGGUAAGCGGAAUUCCUAGUGUAGCGGUGAAAUGCGUAGAGAUUAGGAAGAACCCCGGUGGCGAAGGCGGCUUACUGGACGAUAACUGACGCUGAGGCUCGAAAGCGUGGGGAGC